rnacentral:tmRNA from 3 species
GGGGACGUUCUUGGAUUCGACAGGGGUCCCCCGAGCUUAUUAAGCGUGUCGGAGGGUUGGCUCCGUCAUCAACACAUUUCGGUUAAAUAUAACUGACAAAUCAAACAAUAAUUUCGCAGUAGCUGCGUAAUAGCCACUGCAUCGCCUAACAGCAUCUCCUACGUGCUGU